GCUUAAAUAAUUUUUUGAAAUUUCCGUUAUUGCAAUUGCGCUCUAAUGAGAUUUUGGCUAGCUUACCAAUAGUUAAUAAACCCUGCCAUCAUAAAAAAAUGUUUAUUUUAUUUCUCUAAUAUAAUUCUCUUUACGUAAAUUUUAAAUUUUC
ensembl:ncRNA Y37D8A.28 ncRNA